rnacentral:rRNA from 1 species
GACGAACGCUGGCGGCGUGCUUAACACAUGCAAGUCGGGGGGCCUUUCGGGGUCACCGGCGGACGGGUGGCGUAACACGUGAGCGACCUGCCCUGGAGUGGGGAUAGCCGCCCAACGGCCGGUAAUACCGCAUACGCCACCGGAGAGGCAUCUCUCGGGUGGGAAACCCGCAAGGGGCUCGUGGAGGGGCUCGCGGCCUAUCAGCUAGUUGGCGAGGUAACGGCUCACCAAGGCGAUGACGGGUAGCUGGCUGAGA